UACGGGGGGAGCAAGCGUUGUUCGGAUUUACUGGGCGUAAAGGGCACGUAGGCGGCCACCGCAAGUCGACUGUGAAAUCUCCGGGCUUAACCCGGAAAGGUCAGCCGAUACUGCGGGGCUAGAGUGCAGAAGGGGCAACUGGAAUUCUCGGUGUAGCGGUGAAAUGCGUAGAUAUCGAGAGGAACACCUGCGGCGAAGGCGGGUUGCUGGGCUGACACUGACGCUGAGGCGCGAAAGCUAGGGGAGCAAACGGG
rnacentral:rRNA from 1 species